GACGAACGCUGGCGGCGUGCUUAACACAUGCAAGUCGAACGGAAAGGCCCUGCUUUUGUGGGGUGCUCGAGUGGCGAACGGGUGAGUAACACGUGAGUAACCUGCCCUUGACUUUGGGAUAACUUCAGGAAACUGGGGCUAAUACCGGCUAGGAGCUCCUGCUGCAUGGUGGGGGUUGGAAAGUUUCGGCGGUUGGGGAUGGACUCGCGGCUUAUCAGCUUGUUGGUGGGGUAGUGGCUUACCAAGGCUUUGACGGGUAGCCGGCCUGAGAGUGUGACCGGCCACAUUGGGACUGAGAUACGGCCCAGACUCCUACGGGAGGCAGCAGUGGGGAAUAUUGCACAAGGGGCGGAAGCCUGAUGCAGCAACGCCGCGUGCGGGAUGACGGCCUUCGGGUUGUAAACCGCUUUCGCCUGUGACGAAGCGUGAGUGACGGUAAUGGGUAAAGAAGCACCGGCUAACUACGUG
rnacentral:rRNA from 1 species